ensembl:lncRNA SNHG29 small nucleolar RNA host gene 29
CUUUUCAUUCCCGUUGUUAUGGAGGGCCACAUCUGCCAGAGCCUGGAGUCUGCGAAGGCCGGGACCCGGUUCCCCGGCCCACAGUGGGGGUGUGCAAACCCGAGAGAACUGGGUAAGUUGGGGUCGGCUUGCAGUUUGGGGUACCCCGAGGGCGGUGUACGUCGGUAAGAUUGUAACAGUAUUACUGGAAGACUUAUUCGACUGUCCUGAUGAUACUUGUAAUAGGAAGUGCCGUCAGAAGCGAUAACUGACGACGUCUAAUGUCUAUCUGACCGCAGUCGCUGAAACCUCUACAACUUAGUUGACCGUAACUGCCAGAGCCCUGCCCUGAAUUCCUGUCCUUACUCCCUCUUUAAGAUUGCGUACCCACUGCAGAGUGCUGAAGACGGGGUAGCCACGAGGUGAGAGGCUCUCUGGUGUAGGGUUUAACAUGGAACGUAGUUUUGUCACUUGAAUGCACGGAAAUUGGCGUUUUGACAGUUUUCUACGUUUAGGUGUUUUAUACACUUUAGGGUAACGUUAUCAUGUCAUUGCAUAGGGUGGAACUUAAAUAGAAACUGGAGAUGGCUGCUUCAGCCACAGUCCUAACCUAGAACUGCAUUUAAAGCAAACUGAUAAUGCAGAAACAAACUCCUUCGUUAAGAAAUGUCUCCAGUAGCAGGGUUAGCUUAAGUUUCAGGUAGGGUCUAGAUCUGCGGUUGGAACAGUACUGGAGGGUUGUGAGGUGCUUGACUGCUCUGAUGAAAUCACUAAUAGGAAGUGCCGUCAGAAGCGAUAACUGACGAAGACUACUCCUGUCUGAUUGCAGUCAAGUCUUCACCACUUGCUGGUUCCCAGGAGUAAACUUGUUUGAACGGUGACCUAAUUGCUAUAUUCACCUAGGUUGCAAAUUCGUGAAGAAUCAGCAUCAUGUUUGGCAGCUGAGUAUUGGAGCCAGGAGCCUGCCAUGAGGUUUUGAGAACAGAGUGCUGUUUUAGAGCUGGCAGCAGCAUCUCAGCCCAAGAGAAGGUAAGCCUUGAGCUGGCCAAUGAUCCCUUCAACCCCAUAGUGGAAUGAAUAAACAGCUGAUCUUGUUAAAACUCGCUUCAAAAAAAAAAGAUAUCAAAUGAUGAAAUCACCCAAAAUAGCUGGAAUUACCGGCAGAUUGUGUAGUGGUGAACCUAUGGUUUUCUGAAGAUAUCUCUUACCCUGUGAUUGACUGUCAGUUGGUGCAGAAAGUGAGAUUGAAAUGUAGUUUCUUUGCAGGUUAUAUUCCCAGAGGAUGUCAGUCCCAAGGACCAGUAGCUGCCAUCAGUUUGGAUUCUGAAAACUAACUGGCAUCAACACUGGGUGUAGAAACAUGCUUGCCUUAUGUAUCAGAGGACAUGCUCAGCAGAUCCAAGAGAUAUAUUUGGCAACUUUUUCUAGAAAAGGCACAUUGGGUAUCAUUCAUUACAUUCUUGAGUUUUUUUGGGUUUUUUUUUUUUUUUU